GAUGAACGCUGGCGGCGUGCCUAAUACAUGCAAGUCGAACGGGAGACCUCAUUUCGAUGGGGUUGAGAGUGGCGCACGGGUGAGGAACACAUGGCUGACCUGCCCUUCAGAGGGGGAUAACGGCUGGAAACGGCUGCUAAUACCCCAUACGCUCCUUGGGAUUAGAGGCCUGAGGAGGAAAGCCUUCGGGUGCUGAAGGAGGGGGCUGUGGCCCAUCAGCUUGUUGGUAGGGUAACGGCCUACCAAGGCGACGACGGGUAGGGGGCCUGAGGGGGUGACCCCCCAACUGGGACUGAGACACGGCCCAGACUCCUACGGGAGGCAGCAGUAAGGGAUCUUGCGACAAUGGGCGAAAGCCUGACGCAGCAACGCCGCGUGCGGGAGACGGCCUUGGGUUGUAAAGCUCUGUCUGGAGGGACGAAGGAAGUGACGGUACCUCCGGAGGAAGCCACGGCUAACUACGUGCCAGCAGCCGCGGUAAAAUCAACGUGUAA
rnacentral:rRNA from 1 species